GAUGAACGCUGGCGGCGUGCCUAAUACAUGCAAGUCGAGCGAACGGACGAGAAGCUUGCUUUUCUGAUGUUAGCGGCGGACGGGUGAGUAACACGUGGAUAACCUACCUAUAAGACUGGGAUAACUUCGGGAAACCGGAGCUAAUACCGGAUAAUAUUUUGAACCGCAUGGUUCAAAAGUGAAAGACGGUCUUGCUGUCACUUAUAGAUGGAUCCGCGCUGCAUGAGCUAGUUGGUACGGUAACGGCUUACCAAGGCAACGAUGCAUAGCCGACCUGAGAGGGUGAUCGGCCACACGGGAACUGAGACACGGUCCAGACUACUACGGGAGGCAGCAGUAGGGAAUCGUCCGCAAUGGGCGAAAGCCUGACGGAGCAACGCCGCGUGAGUGAUGAAGGUCUUCGGAUCGUAAAACUCUGUUAUUAGGGAAGAACAGAUGUGUAAGUAACUGUGCACAUCUUGACGGUACCUAAUCAGAAAGCCACGGCUAACUACGUG
rnacentral:rRNA from 1 species